CCCGCUCACUACUGUAAGUCGCUCUGGGUAAGAGCGUCUGCUAAAUGACUCAAA
rfam:Salmo salar isolate Sally breed double haploid chromosome ssa09, whole genome shotgun sequence.